UCCUUUCUGAUACAAUUUUAAUUGCUACAA
rnacentral:piRNA from 1 species